UCGAGAAUUUUUCUCAAUGGGCGAAAGCCUGAAGGAGCGACGCCGCGUGGGGGAUGAAGGGCUUCGGCUCGUAAACCCCUGUCAUUUGCGAACAAACCCCGCUGGUGAACAGCCGGCGGGCUGAUUGUAGCGAAAGAGGAAGGGACGGCUAACUCUGUGCCAGCAGCCGCGGUAAUACAGAGGUCCCAAGCGUUGUUCGGAUUCACUGGGCGUAAAGGGCGCGCAGGUGGCGAGGUAAGUUUGGCGUGAAAUCUCCGGGCUCAACCCGGAAAAUGCGUUGAAUACUAUCUUGCUGGAGGGUUGGAGGGGAGACUGGAAUUCUCGGUGUAGCAGUGAAAUGCGUAGAUAUCGAGAGGAACACCAGCGGCGAAGGCGAGUCUCUGGACAACACCUGACACUGAGGCGCGAAAGCUAGGGGAGCAAACAGGAUUAGAUACCCCCGUAGUCC
rnacentral:rRNA from 1 species